UGAGGAGCCGCGGGAAAGGAGAGGAGGGGCGGUGGCCAGGCGGUUGCCCUGACAACGGGAAACCGACAGUCUCUUCCCGGUAGGGAGAGGGGAUGGCGGAAUUACUCCUCUAAUGUCAAGGUUUUCUAAUCACAGAAUUACUGGAGCGUCAAGAAGCGCCUGCAUGCUUGGAAGGGCUUCCAGGCAGAUGAACACACCUCAGCACCGGGUGGCAGUUUCCCAGGGUGCAACCCGGACCGGCUCUGGGUCACACUGACAAGCCUCUCCGACUCCCCAGGCUGGGUUGGGUGCUCCUCCCUCUCAUCCCACAGCGCUAUGUCUCAUGUCUUCUGGAAAACUUGCCAAUCCCUAGUGUAAGUGUGACUGGUCUAUUGUGAGCACCUAUUGUUCAGGGACCUCUGUUUACCUGAGGCCAGGACAAGGGCCUGGAGUGUGAGCAGGAGCAAGGGAGUGCUCGGGAAAUGGAAACAAUGAAUGAAUCAAUCAGUCAAUCAGAUAACAAGGAUUAACAAUUUCCAGAGACAGCCCGUACAUAGAGGGAAAGUUUACUGAAAAAAAUGAAGAGGGGUCAGGGCAAGGCGAGGAGCAAGAAGCAUCCCCAAGGAAACAGAGAAGACCAGUACAACUGUACCUCUUUGCCAGCUGCACCAUCCGUACCAGUCUCCUGGGGUGGGAGUGUACAGCUCAGAGACUGCCACACUGCAAGACGAAGGGGCUGGAUGGACGGAAGUAAGAGGCGGAACCCUGCACACCCUCGGCCUCAGCCCCACUGAGUCUCCAAUGGGGCCACGCUUCUGAGUGCACCUCCCCCUGU
rnacentral:antisense_RNA from 1 species